UCUGGCUUCGCGGACUCUGGGACGGAAAAACCGAGCAGGGCUUCCCCUUCCGGGGGCCGUCCGUUCCGGAGGCUUCUGCGGUUCCAGACGCAUUUGUCUCUCGUCCGAAGGACGCUGCAGCCGGUCGGGCAGUGCAAGCGCGUCGGCCUGAAGGCCGGGUGACGGCAGGUGGCCGGUGGCGCGCCUCGUGUGCGUCGCCGGUUGUUAGCCAACUCGGCAGUGGCUCGACGCCCGACCGUGGUGUCGCGAGGUCCUCACGGACCUCUACGUUUCCUACCCUGUGUCGCGGGACAGACAGUCGCAGGGGGAAUCCGCCGUCCCGUCGCACUCCUCCGGAGUGGACGGGCGAACGGAGGCCCUCGUUGGCGGCUGCGGACCCGCGGGGGACCGGAGGCUCGCAGCGAGUAGGUCGGUCACCCACCCGACCCGUCUUGAAACACGGACCAAGGAGUCUAACAUGUGCGCGAGUCAAUGGGUCUUGAACAGGCCCAGGGGCGCAAUGAAAGCGAAAGUCGGCCUAGCGUCGACCGAGUCGGGAUCCUCUCCUCCGGGGGAGGCGCACCGACGACCCGUCCUAUCCGGCUCGCCGGUUGGGCGGAGUCUGAGCGUACACGUUGGGACCCGAAAGAUGGUGAACUAUGCCCGGACAGGACGAGGCCAGAGGAAACUCUGGU
rnacentral:rRNA from 1 species